AUCGUUCAUCUGUUUCUCGCAGACGGAAGUAAGAAGAAUUUAUCUUCUGAAGGAACGCGCC
rnacentral:ncRNA from 2 species